GAUUGUUGGAUGAGUGUGAGGCGUUGGAUUGAUUUAACUCAAUCUGAGCCCCACAUUCAUUAGGUGCUCGU
rnacentral:pre_miRNA from 1 species